rnacentral:rRNA from 1 species
AAUAGAUACCCAGGUAGUCCACGCUGUAAACGAUGAUCACUAGAUGUUAGUCUUGCUUUGCGAGAUUGGUGUCUGAGCUAACGCGUUAAGUGAUCCGCCUGGGGACUACGGUCGCAAGGCUAAACUACAAAGGGAAAUUAGGACGGGGGCCCGCACAAGCGGUGGAACAUGUGGUUUAAUUCGACACUACGCGAGGAACCUUACCUAGGCUUGACAUGUACUUGACAGCCGUAGAGAUACGGUCUUCCGGGCUUCGGUUCGGACAGGUACACAGGUGCUGCAUGGCUGUCGUCAGCUCGUGUCGUGAGAUGUUGGGUUAAGUCCUUUAACGAGCGCAACCCCUGCUGUCAGUUGCUAUUUGCGUAAGCAAAGCACUCUGAUGGGACUGCCUGGGAAACCAGGAGGAAGGUGGGGAUGACGUCAAGUCAUCAUGGUCCUUAUGUCUAGGGCUACACACGUGUUACAAUGGCCAGUACAAAGGGCUGCAAAUUCGUAAGAGUGAGACUAAUCCCAAAAAGCUGGUCUU